AAACAAUUAAAACAUUAAAUUUUAAACAGACCCAAGGCUAUAAAUCACUUUGUCUGAGCGGCGAAGAAUUAAAUUGAUAUAACUACAUUACAGCUGUUAUAUAGCAGACAAUAAAGGGUAUUCUCUUUAAAUACGUGUAUUGAAAAUGUUAAAACACAAUCUUAAAAACGGUGUACACAUGUCACUGUUUAGAGAAGAAAAUUAAUAAGUAAACUAAGCUAUAAUUUAGUUUUCAGAAAGUUAAAAGUGGUGUAGACACAUGACUGGGUGAGUCAUAAAUUGGCACAUUGUUGGAGAAUCCGCAGUUCAAAAAAUUUUGUAGACAGGUUUUAUUGUUUUUAUAAAUAUCUUGACACAUUGUUAUACCACACCAG